GAUGAACGCUGGCGGCGUGCCUAAUACAUGCAAGUCGAACGCUGGAGAUCUAGCAUGCUAGAUCGAAGGAGUGGCGAACGGGUGAGUAAUACAUAAGCAACCUACCCACGAAGACUGGGAUAAUCUCUGGAAACGGGGACUAAUACCGGAUAGGUAAUCGGAAGGCAUCUUCUGGUUAUUAAAGGUUAAAAACACUGGUGGAUGGGCUUAUGGCGCAUUAGUUAGUUGGUGAGGUAACGGCCCACCAAGACGAUGAUGCGUAGCCGGCCUGAGAGGGUGAACGGCCACAUUGGGACUGAGACACGGCCCAGACUCCUACGGGAGGCAGCAGUAGGGAAUUUUCGGCAAUGGGGGCAACCCUGACCGAGCAACGCCGCGUGAGUGAAGACGGCCUUCGGGUUGUAAAGCUCUGUUGUAAGGGAAGAACGGUAGAUAGAGAAUAUCUAAGUGACGGUACCUUACCAGAAAGCCACGGCUAACUACGUG
rnacentral:rRNA from 1 species